UGUGGCGGCGACGAAGCUUCGGAUCGACCCGUUCCCAUUCCGAACACGGACGUCAAACGAGGCAUUGCCUAUGGUAGUGCAUGUAUAGCUUGCGCGAGAGUAGGUAGCCGCCACAU
rnacentral:rRNA from 1 species